GCCGCUUUAGCUCAGUUGGUAGAGCACGUCAUUCGUAAUGACGGGGUCACGUGUUCGAGUCACGUAAGCGGCACCA
rnacentral:tRNA from 124 species